rnacentral:rRNA from 1 species
GGCUCGUAGCUGCAGGACUAUCAUAAGCGGAGGAGCAUAUCAAUAAGCGGAGGAGCAUAUCAAUAAGCGGAGGAGCAUAUCAAUAGGGGGAGGAGCGUCUUGUUAUUAGGAGGAAAUAACUUUCAACAACGGAUCUCUUGGCUCUCGCAUCGAUGAAGAACGCAGCGAAAUGCGAUAAGUAAUGUGAAUUGCAGAAUUCAGUGAAUCAUCGAAUCUUUGAACGCAACUUGCGCUCUCUGGUAUUCCGGAGAGCAUGCCUGUUUGAGUAUCAUGAAAUCUCAACCAUUAGGGUUUCUUAAUGGCUUGGAUUUGGGCGCUGCCACUUGCCUGGCUCGCCUUAAAAGAGUUAGCGUGUUUAACUUGUCGAUCUGGCGUAAUAAGUUUCGCUGGUGUAGACUUGAGAAGUGCGCUUCUAAUCGUCUUCGGACAAUUCUUGAACUCUGGUCUCAAAUCAGGUAGGACUACCCGCUGAACUUAAGCAUAUCAAUAAGCGGAGGAAA